UACGUAGGGUGCAAGCGUUGUCCGGAAUUAUUGGGCGUAAAGAGCUCGUAGGCGGUUUGUCGCGUCUGCUGUGAAAACUCGGGGCUCAACUCCGAGCUUGCAGUGGGUACGGGCAGACUAGAGUGCGGUAGGGGAGACUGGAAUUCCUGGUGUAGCGGUGGAAUGCGCAGAUAUCAGGAGGAACACCGGUGGCGAAGGCGGGAUCCUGGGCCAGUACUGACGCUGAGGAGCGAAAGCGUGGGGAGCGAACAGG
rnacentral:rRNA from 1 species